UACGAGGGGGGCAAGCGUUGUUCGGAAUUAUUGGGCGUAAAGGGUGCGUAGGCGGCCUGACAAGUCUGAUGUGAAAUCUAUGGGCUCAACCCAUAGUCUGCAUCGGAAACUGUCGGGCUUGAGUAUGGGAGAGGUGAGUGGAAUUUCCGGUGUAGCGGUGAAAUGCGUAGAUAUCGGAAGGAACACCUGUGGCGAAAGCGGCUCACUGGACCAUUACCGACGCUGAGGCACGAAAGCUAGGGGAGCAAACAGG
rnacentral:rRNA from 1 species